GGAGGGAUGCGAGAGCGGUUUAAUCGAGCGGUCUUGAAAACCGUCGUCCCGAUUCAUCGGGGCCGUGGGUUCGAAUCCCACUCCCUCCGCCA
rnacentral:tRNA from 1 species